rnacentral:rRNA from 1 species
GAUGAACGCUGGCGGCGUGCCUAAUACAUGCAAGUCGAGCGAACAGACGAGGAGCUUGCUCCUCUGACGUUAGCAGCGGACGGGUGAGUAACACGUGGAUAACCUACCUAUAAGACUGGGAUAACUUCGGGAAACCGGAGCUAAUACCGGAUAAUAUAUUGAACCGCAUGGUUCAAUAGUGAAAGACGGUUUUGCUGUCACUUAUAGAUGGAUCCGCGCCGCAUUAGCUAGUUGGUAAGGUAACGGCUUACCAAGGCAACGAUGCGUAGCCGACCUGAGAGGGUGAUCGGCCACACUGGAACUGAGACACGGUCCAGACUCCUACGGGAGGCAGCAGUAGGGAAUCUUCCGCAAUGGGCGAAAGCCUGACGGAGCAACGCCGCGUGAGUGAUGAAGGUCUUCGGAUCGUAAAACUCUGUUAUUAGGGAAGAGCAAAUGUGUAAGUAACUAUGCACGUCUUGACGGUACCUAAUCAGAAAGCCACGGCUAACUACGUG